GACAUUUCUCCUUUUUUUUUUUCUCAUCCUGUUUGCUUUCUUAGAAGAUGAUGUAGGUCUUCUCCUCCUGUUUCUCAAAGAUUCCUGUUCGCAGCCGUAUACUCUGCACCCAGUUACCUAAGAGCUGGCCCCCUUUUUGUGGAAAACAAGAAAUCUCUGUUUGUGUUUAUGAGAAGAUUGUCAGCUUCACUCCAGCUGAAGGUAGAAAGAAUGUCAUCCUCUUCUCAGCCGAGCGGAGCCCACAGAAUUUGCUGAAGGCAUGGAGAGGAAUAUGGCUGAAUAACCCAAUUACCCAGAGCGGAGCUGAAGAGACAUAAUCAGGCCUGUCCUGAUAAAACUGUUGACAGCUUCCAUUCCUAACUCUUGGGAAAGUGGCUCGAGGAAGACAUCAUGGAAAGAAUAAGCCAGAGGCGCCUGGGUGGCUCAGUUGUUAAGCGUCUGCCUUCGGCUCAGGUCAUGAUCCCAGGGUCCUGGGA